rnacentral:rRNA from 1 species
AUGAACGCUGGCGGCGUGCCUAAUACCUGCAAGUCGCGCGAACGGACGAGAAGCUUGCUUCUCUGAUGUUAGCGGCGGACGGGUGAGUAACACGUGGAUAACCUACCUAUAAGACUGGGAUAACUUCGGGAAACCGGAUCUAAUACCGGAUAAUAUUUUGAACCGCAUGGUUCAAAAGUGAAAGACGGUCUUGCUGUCACUUAUAGAUGGAUCCGCGCUGCAUUAGCUAGUUGGUAAGGUAACGGCUUACCAAGGCAACGAUGCAUAGCCGACCUGAGAGGGUGAUCGGCCACACUGGAACUGAGACACGGUCCAGACUCCUACGGGAGGCAGCAGUAGGGAAUCUUCCGCAAUGGGCGAAAGCCUGACGGAGCAACGCCGCGUGAGUGAUGAAGGUCUUCGGAUCGUAAAACUCUGUUAUUAGGGAAGAACAUAUGUGUAAGUAACUGUGCACAUCUUGACGGUACCUAAUCAGAAAGCCACGGCUAACUACGUG